CUUCCUCCUUUUUGCAAACCCUAAUUCGUUGUCUCUUGCUCUCUCCUCCUCCAUUUGGUAGAUUGUUGAAUGCGCCGUAAGACCCACGCUUGGCCUCUCGGCAGAAACGAGUUUGGGAGUCGAUUUCUCAAAACCAUCCGCGCUGCAACUCCUGAUUCGACGGCCAAAUCUGCUCUUGAAGAUCCAAAUUCGCGACGUGAAGUUGACGGAUCUGGUGGUUGACGAGGUUUUCUUAGAGACGCAUCCGUACAGUUCGGAUAAGACGAUUCUUCUGGUUGUAGGAUUGAGAUUGGGCUUCGUGGACAAUAUGAAGGUAUAUCAACAACACAUUAACGUUAAAGACAAAAUUGAGCUCUGUAAUCUAUACAGCGUGGUUGAUUAUCAUGUGUAUACGAGACUCUCCGUUUGAAGUAGGCCAGCAAGUAGAAUCAAGAUCAUUUCAAGCAGGUUAUCGUGGUUCAUGGUUUCUCUCCAAGAUAAAGGAUGUCAGCUGGAGAAAAGGUCAUCUUGGAUAUAUAUUGGAAUUUCCCGACUUUCCUGAUGAAAGAAAAUCUUGGACGAAGUUAUAUCAAAAGCCCCAAACUUAUGAUAGAAAUGCGAAGCAAAAGGAUUUGCAUAUUAUGCUUCGUCCUCGCUUUCCUCCGGUAUAUCGUGAAAGUCAAAUGCCUGACGUUAGUGCCAUCUCAGAAGUGGUAGUUAUUGUGAAUGAUUCCUGGAAGGUUGGAGAUUUAGUUGACUGGUGGCAAGAUGGUUGUUAUUGGUCUGGUAGAAUAGCUGAAGUGUUGGAGGAUGGGAAAUAUCAGAUGGACUUGUUACCACCUCCUCUAGGUGAAGGAUUAUCUUAUGAGGUUUGCAGCAAGGAUCUCCGUCCGUCAUUGGAUUGGUCUCUCAAAAGCGGUUGGACGGUGUCUGCUCCUAUGGACUCUGAUAAUGGUCAGCGUUGUGCUCGUAUAGUUAAUCCUGCUAACAAAGGGAACACUUCAAGCUUCAAAACACGUAAAGCCAGUGAAAACAGAGACAGAGUUCAGGGUAAAGCUGGAUCUUCUCAAUCAUCAGUUCCUUCUCGUGGUUCUGCUAGGUCACCAAAACCUUCUAAUAAGUUGGAACAAAUGAGAAAGCUUACGUUAGGUGCUAUGGCAGCAGAUAAGGAAAUGCACACACCGGCAACAUACAUGGACUUGGAUAUGCUAAAUGGUGGCACUUGGGAAAGCAGUUGCUCAGAUAGUGACGAAAGUGAGUCAAGUGGAAUAAUAGGUGAUGAAACUGGAGCAUCAGUAUCGGCAUUUACGUCUCAUGUUUCAUCUAGCUCAUCAGAACCUCCUGAUAAGAUGGAAGAAACCAAAAAGCGACCUCUAUGUGCCAUGGAAGAAAAGGAGAACACACAAGGAACAAAGACUGAAUCCGAUAUGGAGAAUGACAGCAUUGGGAAAACAAUCUGCUCAGAUAACGAUUCGAAUUCAGACGUUAAAGCUGGCUCAACUGAUGUAGGUGAAAUGAUGCUUGAAAAAGACAGACUUGAAGGCGGAUCCUCAAAGAAGAUGAAAACUGAUGUAAACAUUCCCCUAAACUUGAUGUUCUCUAAUACAAUAGAAGCUGCAGUUUUGGACUUGGAGGAGCUUGUAAACCGGGUGAAAUGGAUGAAGAGUUUGUUGGAGAUUGCAACAUCUUCAUCAAACACUACACGGCCCCCAUGGAAAUUUCUCGGGCACCUUGCCUCAUCAGCACCAAAAUGAAUUUGUUCUGUAAACUCUAAGUUUGCAUGAUGAGUUUUCUUUGUUAUAUCAUUUGAAAUCUGCAUGGUAUUCGAUUUUGGUACGAAGUGUUCUUCGCAUCAAAAAGCUCUUUGGAAGAAAACGUAAUUGUCUCAUCUGUGCUUAACAUGCCGAUUUCUUUUGCACUCUUGUGAAGAUAUAGUUCAUUGAUAGAGUGAUGAUUGCUUGCUAUGGAGGUCUUCUUAUCAUUGCCUUCUAAGAUGUUGACACGUGGCCCGUAACUUAAAGGAUGAAACAACUGAAUCCAUUUCCACGGCCUGGUAUCAGUCUACUUUUUUCUUGGCUGGUCUUAAGCAGUUGAGUUGACAUUUUUGAGACAUUGGUUUCUCAAUCCGGAUGUGUGCGAAAAAAUUUUCCAAGUUCACUCACCAAACUCUUCCACCAAAUAGUACUUGGGACUCUUUUACCAUUUCGGUUGAUAAUAUGAACAUAGUCAAGC